rnacentral:snoRNA from 1 species
GCUGAGGAAUGAUGACAGUAAAAGGCCGAAUUGCAGUGCUCCCCGAAGCAGGUUGCUCUCCUUGGAGCACCAUGACAAAGUCUCCUGAAGCGAAUCAUUAGUCUGACCUCAGU